rnacentral:lncRNA from 1 species
UUUGCACAUGCGUUGACCAUAACUUUAAGCCUAGUUGAUGUGGCUGCCGGAAAUUGCAGACGUGGACUAACCGUCGGGCAGGUAAGUAUAAUUUUAAAAAAAAAGAAAAAAAAAGAGGAAAAUCUCAGUCUUCUUCUCCGUCUUUUCCAGACGUCGAGCACGACCGCCGCCUUUUCCAGAUCCGCCGUAUUUUUCAGACGCCGAGCACCACCGCCACCGCCGAGCACAGCGCAGUCUUCUUCUCCGUCACAGGCCAUUGCUCGCUUUCUUUCCGCUGCCUCACCGCCGUCCUCCAUCCUCCAUCGCUCGCCUUUUCUUCGCUCAUAUGAAUGUCGCCUCACCGCCAUCUUUCAUCUCCGCCCCUUUCCCUGAAUCUCCAUCCUCCAUCCGCCGCCAUUCUCCAUCUCCGCCGCACCGCACAGCGCGGCCUCGUCUCCAGCAGCCGUCUUCCACCAGCCACAACACAAACACCACACCACGACACAAACACCACACAACGCGACGACACGACACAAGCACUACACCAUGCCACGAAUUUCAGUAGCGAAGAGCCGACAAUCCCCAAAUUUGCAGAACCCCCAAAUCCACAAAUCCCCCACAAUCCUCCUCCGCCUCCAACCUUCCAAAAUCGAAGUCGAGCCGGAUGAAAUCGAAGGAGUGGUGAGGGAAAAUCGGAGUCAAAUGGGAAGAAAUCCCCAGAUC